GAUGAACGCUGGCGGCGUGCCUAAUACAUGCAAGUCGAGCGAACAGACGAGGAGCUUGCUCCUCUGACGUUAGCGGCGGACGGGUGAGUAACACGUGGAUAACCUCCCUAUAAGACUGGGAUAACUUCGGGAAACCGGAGCUAAUACCGGAUAAUAUAUUGAACCGCAUGGUUCAAUAGUGAAAGACGGUUUUGCUGUCACUUAUAGAUGGAUCCCCGCCGCAUUAGCUAGUUGGUAAGGUAACGGCUUACCAAGGCAACGAUGCGUAGCCGACCUGAGAGGGUGAUAGGCGACCCUGGAAGGGAGACAGGGUCAAGACUACUACGAGAGGCAGCAGUAGGGAACCUGCCGCAAUGGGCGAAAGCUUGACGGAGCAACGCCGCGUGAGUGAUGAAGGUCUUCGGAUCGUAAAACUCGGUUAUUAGGGAAGAACAAAUGUGUAAGUAACUAUGCACGUCGUGACGGUACCUAAUCAGAAAGCCACGGCUAACUACGUG
rnacentral:rRNA from 1 species